GACGAACGCUGGCGGCGUGCCUAAUACAUGCAAGUAGAACGCAGUUACGAACGGGUGAGUAACGCGUAGGUAACUGCCUGGUAGCGGGGGAUAACUAUUGGAAACGAUAGCUAAUACCGCAUACUACCAGAUGGACCUGCGUUGUAUUAGCUAGUUGGUGAGGUAACGGCACACCAAAGCAACGAUACAUAGCCGACCUGAGAGGGGGAUCGGCGAAACUGGGACUGAGACACGGCCCCGACGCCUACGGGAGGAAGCAGUAGGGAAGCUUCGGCAAGGGGAGGAAACAUGACCGAGAAACGCCGAGUGAGUGAAGAAGGUUUGCGGAUCGUAAAGAUCUGUUGUUAAGGAAGCGGUACUUAACCAGAAAGGGACGGCUAACUACGUGCCAGCAGCCGCGGUAAUAC
rnacentral:rRNA from 1 species